UACAUGGGGUGCAAACGUUGCUCGGAAUUAUUGGGCGUAAAGCGCGCGUAGGCGGUUACUCAAGUCGGAUGUGAAAGCCCUCGGCUUAACUGAGGAAGUGCACCCGAAACUGAGUAGCUAGAGUACUAAAGAGGGUCGCGGAAUUCCCGGUGUAGAGGUGAAAUUCGUAGAUAUCGGGAGGAACACCAGUGGCGAAGGCGGCUCUCUGGGCAGAUACUGACGCUGAGACGCGAAAGCAUGGGGAGCAAACAGG
rnacentral:rRNA from 1 species